AUUGAACGCUGGCGGAAUGCUUUACACAUGCAAGUCGAGCGGCAGCACGGGGGCAACCCUGGUGGCGAGCGGCGAACGGGUGAGUAAUACAUCGGAACAUGCCCAGUCGUGGGGGAUAACACUUCGAAAGAAGUGCUAAUACCGCAUACGUCCUGAGGGAGAAAGCGGGGGAUCUUCGGACCUCGCGCGAUUGGAGUGGCCGAUGUCAGAUUAGCUAGUUGGUGGGGUAAAGGCCUACCAAGGCAACGAUCUGUAGUUGGUCUGAGAGGAUGUUCAGCCGCACUGGGGCUGAAUAACGGCCCAGACUCCUACGGGAGGCAGCAGUGGGGAAUUUUGGACAAUGGGGGCAACCCUGAUCCAGCCAUUCCGCGUGAGUGAAGAAGGCCUUCGGGUUGUAAAGCUCUUUCGGCAGGAACGAAACGGCGAGCUCUAACAUAGCUUGCUAAUGACGGUACCUGAAGAAGAAGCACCGGCUAACUACGUGCCAGCAGCCGCAGUAAAAC
rnacentral:rRNA from 1 species